AGAGAGAGACAUGCGCGCAUAUCAAUAAGCGGAGGAAAAGAAACUAACAAGGAUUCCCUUAGUAACGGCGAGUGAAGCGUGAAGAGCUCAAAUUUGAAAUCUUCAAGGUUUUACCUUGACGAAUUGUAGUUUAAAGAAGUGUUUUCUGUUGAGUUUUGGUAAAAGUUCUUUGGAAUAGGACAUCAUAGAGGGUGAGAAUCCCGUAUUUGACCAUUAUUUUCAGCUGUGUGAUACACUUUCAAAGAGUCGGAUUGUUUGGGAAUGCAGUCCAAAAUGGGUGGUAAAUUUCAUCUAAAGCUAAAUAUUGGCGAGAGACCGAUAGCGAACAAGUACCGUGAGGGAAAGAUGAAAAGAACUUUGAAAAGAGAGUUAAACAGUACGUGAAAUUGUCAAAAGGGAAGCGUUUGACACCAGUGUUGUUUUUCCGAAAAUCAAUUAUAAAAGGACUGGAUUUUAGUUGUCAUGACCUUAUAAGCUUGUUGCUUAUUUUUCAUGUCUUUCUUAAUGCACUUUUCGUUAACAAGUCAACAUCAAUUUCUUCUGUUGUAAAAGAGUAUUAGGAAGGUGGCUUUCUUUUCGGAGAAAGUGUUUAUAGCCUUGUACUUCUGCAAUCGGAGAGAUUGAGGUCUGCAGCGUAGAUCCUUCGGGGUUAGAUAGCAUUUGUGCUAAGUUAUAGCUUUCAUAGACAACUUGUUGAUUAUGAUUAAGUCAUUGUAGCUUACUCGCUUAUGCUAUUUUACCUACGCUUAGGAUGUUGACAGCAGUAUAGACUGU
rnacentral:rRNA from 1 species